rnacentral:lncRNA from 1 species
UUUUACUGUUGUCCAAGCCUGUUGUCGGUAUGAUUAUCAGAGAUCGGUAGUCAAAUUGCAUGGGUUCCAACUUGUUUCAAGCCUAAAGCACUCUUGGGUCUUGAGGCCUCUCUGAAUGGUCAUAUUUGUCGUAGAGUUGCCUCACAAGGGUAAACUAUUCAACUACCCAAUUUUGCUUAGGAUGUAGUUUAUUUCUUCUACAUCAAAGUACUAUUCGGGAUAUUUGAAAUAUUUGUUUACGUCAUCUGGGUAAAUCUUUGAAGCAAACUUAUUGUGCCUUGUCUUGUUUGGGCAGGUUCCAUCCACCGAUUGGGACUAAGAUGUGAGCUCGGUCAUGAUGUUUGUCUGCAGAUUUAUGUUUCUCUAAAGGGUCAUCAAUAAUGGUGCCAUGUGUUGGCGGUUAGCCUGUUACCAUGAUGUUUUAGUUUCUCCUUCCCAUGUAUUGUCUCAGCUGGAAACCUACCAUUGUGGUUUCUCUUGUGCAACUUAGCAAAAGAGUUUAAACUUUGUUGAAUUGUUAAUGUGCAACUUAGCAAAAUGAUGG